rnacentral:lncRNA from 1 species
CUAGCAAUCAGCGAGACUCCGUGGGUGUAGGACCCUCCGAGCCAGGUGCGGGAUAUAAUCUUGUGGUGUGCCAUUUUUUAAGCCCAUCGGAAAAGCGCCGUAUUCGGGUGGGAGUGACCCGAUUUUCCAGGUGCCAUCUGUCACCCUUUUCUUUGACUCAGAAAGGGAACUUGCUGACCCCUUGCGCUUCCCAAGUGAGGCAAUGCCUCGCCCUGCUUCGGCUCACGCACAGUGCGCCCACCCACUGACCUGCGCCCACUGUCUGGCACUCGCUAGUGAGAUGAACCCGGUACCUCAGAUGGAAAUGCAGAAAUCACCCGUCUUCUGCGUCGCUCAGGCUGGGAGCUGUAGACCAGAGCUGUUCCUAUUCGGCCAUCUUCUGGUGCUACAUUUUAAAAGAGAAAGAAAAACUACAUAUACAGUAAGACAUUCUGUGCUGGGAGGAGAGCAGAGGAUCCAGGGAGCAGAUUGCAGGGAGCUUCACUGAAGCAAGAUGACCGUGAUGCUGGAGAAGAGCCCUUGAGAUGGAACAGCCUCAGGUACUGAGGAGUCCUUGUGGAAUUCCCCUUUGGAGUUGAGAGUUUCACAAGUUGUACAAUCACAAGGAGGGCACCUGUCUCUUUCUUCGUUUGGGCAUAUUCAACCAACACCUUCUGUCUUCAGCUUGAUGAGUAAGGAAGGACUGAAAGAAAUUCUAUGGCAGUACUGGCUGUGCCUGAGAAACCUCCUGCCACUCAAGCCCAGCAAGGUUCUUGGGAGAACAGUCCAGCAGAAUCAGUUAUCAAGUAAAAGUCACAACCAUAAGUUCAAUGCCACUGAUUCAUGCAACAGGUAGAACUAUCACAAGUCCCAUCAUCAUCUCCUCCUCUUCUGUGCUUCCUGACAGGACACAGGCAGGUUACUGAGUAGAUGGAUUGACCAGAGCUUCCUAUAAUACCAAGGAAAGUUUCACGGAGAACAUCUGGAAUUAAGUCAACUUGAGUGGAUUGAAGGAUGCAAAGUAUUUUUCCUGGGUGUGUCUGUCAGGGCGUUGCCAAAGGAGAUCAACAUUUGAGUCAGUGGCCCGGAAGAGGCAGACCCACCCUCUAUCUGGGUAGGCACCAUCUAAUCAGUUGCCAGUGUGGCUGGAAUAAAGCAGGCAGAAGAACAUGGAAGGACUUGACUUGCUGUCUUCUGGCCUUCAUCUUUCUCCUGUGGUGGAUGCUUCCUGCCCUUGAACCUUAGACUCCAGGUUCUUCAGCUUUUGGACUCUUGGACUUACACCAGUAAUUUGCCAGGGGCUGUCUCUCUAGCAUCCUUGCUCCUCAGCUUGCAGACAGCCUAUUGUGGGACUUCAAUUUGUGAUUGCAUGAGUCAAUACUUCUUAAUAAAUUCUCCUCCAUAUAUACAUCUGUCCUGUUUUUUCUGUUCCUUUAGAGAACCCUAAUUAAUACAGAUUUAUUCUCUUCCAGAUUCUUUUUAGAAAAAUUACAGAGAAUAUUGGAUU